UACGUAGGUGGCAAGCGUUGUCCGGAUUUACUGGGCGUAAAGGGCGCGUAGGCGGCUCGGCACGUCCGUUGUGAAAUCGCUCGGCUCAACUGGGCGAGGUCAGCGGAUACGGUCGAGCUUGAGCCAGCUAGGGGGCAAUGGAAUUCCCGGUGUAGUGGUGGAAUGCGUAGAUAUCGGGAGGAACACCAGUGGCGAAGGCGGUUGCCUGGAGCUUUGCUGACGCUGAGGCGCGAAAGCGUGGGGAGCGAUCCGG
rnacentral:rRNA from 1 species